rnacentral:rRNA from 1 species
UACGUAGGGUGCGAGCGUUGUCCGGAAUUAUUGGGCGUAAAGAGCUCGUAGGCGGUCUGUCGCGUCGGUCGUGAAAACUUGGGGCUUAACCCUGAGCUUGCGGUCGAUACGGGCAUGACUGGAGUUCGGCAGGGGAGACUGGAAUUCCUGGUGUAGCGGUGAAAUGCGCAGAUAUCAGGAGGAACACCGGUGGCGAAGGCGGGACUCUGGGCCGAUACUGACGCUGAGGAGCGAAAGCGUGGGGAGCGAACAGG